UCUCUCUCUCUCUCUCUCUCUUGCCUUCCAUUGUUAAUUUGCCUACAAUUAUGCUUGUUAUACAACUCAUCAUAGAUAUAUUGUCGUUGUAAAUACUAGCACACUUUGCUUUUCAUUUGCAGAUGCUUGCCCACCGCGUCCACCUAGGCCCAAAAUCCGGGACCUCGCCGUUACGCCGCGCCGGCCUCCCUGAGUUCCUGUUGCUCGGAAAUGUGCUGCCGGUGCCUUCCCUGACCUGCUGUUGCUGGCCACCAUGACGCCGCACCAUCCGUCCAAUGAGUUCACCAGCUGCCGAUGUCGCCAUAGGGGAGGACCUGCAGCUUGACCUGGGGCUGCCUCAAGCACCAGGAGGGACACUCAACUAUCGUCGCAUUGAGAGGAUGACUAGAUGACACAACCAGGGGAAGCUAGUUGGAGGGGAUGCGGCUCACCACGACGACGAUCAUGGCGUAGCAGGGUGAGCUCUCCUCCUCUGGUUUGCAAGUCCCCGCCCUCUCCUGGGCGUGUUGGCCUCACUGCUCCACCGACCACAAGCUCCUCCCCUUUCCAAAAAAGCCAGGAAGAGGACAUCCAGGUUAGCAGAGAAGCUGGUACACAUGUAGCAGCAGCAG